CCUACGGGAGGCAGCAGUGGGGAAUUUUGGACAAUGGGGGCAACCCUGAUCCAGCAAUGCCGCGUGAGUGAAGAAGGCCUUCGGGUUGUAAAGCUCUUUUGUCAGGGAAGAAAGGGCUGUGGCUAAUAUCCAUAGCUGCUGACGGUACCUGAAGAAUAAGCACCGGCUAACUACGUGCCAGCAGCCGCGGUAAU
rnacentral:rRNA from 1 species